GACGAACGCUGGCGGCGUGCUUAACACAUGCAAGUCGAACGGAAAGGCCCUGCUUUUGUGGGGUGCUCGAGUGGCGAACGGGUGAGUAACACGUGAGUAACCUGCCCUUGACUUUGGGAUAACUUCAGGAAACUGGGGCUAAUACCGGAUAGGAGCUCCUGCUGCAUGGUGGGGGUUGGAAAGUUUCGGCGGUUGGGGAUGGACUCGCGGCUUAUCAGCUUGUUGGUGGGGUAGUGGCUUACCAAGGCUUUGACGGGUAGCCGGCCUGAGAGGGUGACCGGCCACAUUGGGACUGAGAUGCGGCCCAGACUCCUACGGGAGGCAGCAGUGGGGAAUAUUGCACAAUGGGCGGAAGCCUGAUGCAGCAACGCCGCGUGCGGGAUGACGGCCUUCGGGUUGUAAACCGCUUUCGCCUGUGACGAAGCGUGAGUGACGGUAAUGAGUAAAGAAGCACCGGCUAACUACG
rnacentral:rRNA from 1 species